rnacentral:rRNA from 1 species
GACGAACGCUGGCGGCGUGCCUAAUACAUGCAAGUAGAACGCAGUUGCGAAAGGGUGAGUAACGCGUAGGUAACUGCCUGGUAGCGGGGGAUAACUAUUGGAAACGAUAGCUAAUACCGCAUACUACCAGAUGGACCUGUGUUGUAUUAGCUAGUUGGUGAGGUAACGGGUCACUAAGGAAACGUUACAUAGCCGCCCUGAGGGGGUGGUCGGCCACCCUGGGACGGGGACACGGCCCAGACCUCUACGGGAGGCAGCAGUAGGGAAUCUUCGGCAAUGGGGGGAACCCUGACCGGGCAACGCCGCGAGAGUGAAGAAGGUUUUCGGAUCGUAAAGCUCUGUUGUUGAAGAAGCGGUACUUAACCAGAAAGGGACGGCUAACUACGUGCCAGCAGCCGCGGUAAUUC